rnacentral:rRNA from 1 species
GGGGGAAACCCUGAUCCAGCAAUGCCGCGUGAGUGAAGAAGGCCUUCGGGUUGUAAAGCUCUUUUGUCAGGGAAGAAACACCGGCUCUAACACAGUCCGGGAAUGACGGUACCUGAAGAAUAAGCACCGGCUAACUACGUGCCAGCAGCCGCGGUAAUACGUAGGGUGCGAGCGUUAAUCGGAAUUACUGGGCGUAAAGCGUGCGCAGGCGGUUAUACAAGACAGGCGUGAAAUCCCCGGGCUUAACCUGGGAAUGGCGCCUGUGACUGUAUAGCUAGAGUGUGUCAGAGGGGGGUAGAAUUCCACGUGUAGCAGUGAAAUGCGUAGAUAUGUGGAGGAAUACCAAUGGCGAAGGCAGCCCCCUGGGAUAACACUGACGCUCAUGCACGAAAGCGUGGGGAGCAAACAGGAUUAGAUACCCUGGUAGUCCACGCCCUAAACGAUGCUGACUAGUUGUUCGGGAUUUACAUCCUGAGUAACG